GAUGAACGCUGGCGGCGUGCCUAAUACAUGCAAGUCGAGCGAACGGACGAGAAGCUUGCUUUUCUGAUGUUAGCGGCGGACGGGUGAGUAAAACGUGGAUAACCUACCUAUAAGACUGGGAUAACUUCGGGAAACCGGAGCUAAUACCGGAUAAUAUUUUGAACCGCAUGGUUCAAAAGUGAAAGACGGUCUUGCUGUCCCUUAUAGAUGGAUCCGCGCUGCAUUAGCUAGUUGGUAAGGUAACGGCUUACCAAGGCAACGAUGCAUAGCCGACCUGGGAGGGUGAGCGGCCACACUGGAACUGAGACACGGUCCAGACUCCUACGGGAGGCAGCAGUAGGGAAUCUUCCGCAAUGGGCGAAAGCCUGACGGAGCAACGCCGCGUGAGUGAUGAAGGUCUUCGGAUCGUAAAACUCUGUUAUUAGGGAAGAACAUAUGUGUAAGUAACUGUGCACAUCUUGACGGUACCUAAUCAGAAAGCCACGGCUAACUACGUG
rnacentral:rRNA from 1 species